rnacentral:rRNA from 1 species
UACGGAGGGUGCAAGCGUUAUCCGGAUUCACUGGGUUUAAAGGGUGCGUAGGAGGGCAGGUAAGUCAGUGGUGAAAUCCCCCGAGCUUAACUUGGGGACUGCCGUUGAUACUAUCUGUCUUGAAUGUUGUGGAGGUGAGCGGAAUAUGUCAUGUAGCGGUGAAAUGCUUAGAUAUGACAUAGAACACCAAUUGCGAAGGCAGCUCGCUACACAAUUAUUGACUCUGAUGCACGAAAGCGUGGGGAUCAACAGGAUUAA